UAGCUGUUUAGCUAGUGUUAUGAUUUAUUUUUUGGUUUAUGUGCCUUUUGCAUCAUGCUUAAGCGACCAUAAUGAGUUAUACUCUGAUAUCGAAAGUCACGGAUUUUUCCAUUAACUGGGUUAUGCCCUUAUUGCAGUCGGGUAGAGGGUUAGUUUUAGAUUAUUGGGACGAUGUGAUAAAUUAAUCGACGUGAUUUAUAGCUAUUUUACAGUGGUUACAGUCUUUUUUACUGUUACGGCGAGGAGGUUGUUAAUAGCGGGUACACUUAUAGUCAUUUAUCUGGUAACAUAGGGUUAAAGUUACCCACUAUUUAUAAUAUUGUUAAAAAUUUGUAUAUACAGGCUAAGGUUAGUUACAUAUAUUCACUGUGCUUUUUAAUAGUUAGCUUUUGAAAAUGCUUAAAUAAGUAAUUGUAUUACAUUCUUGGUUUCUCGAGCUUCUUCCGUCUGUUUAUUAAAAACAUUUCUAUAAUAUUUUAUUUAUAGUAUUACCUGCUCUAUGCUUAUGUAAAUGGCCGCAGUAUAUUGACUGUGCGAAGGUAGCAUAAUUAAUUGCCCCAUAAUUGGGGGCUUGUUUGAAUGGUUUGACGAGAGGGUAGUUAACCUGGGUUGUUUAGUUGAAUUUAUCUUAGAGGGCACAGAGACCUCUUUUUAUUAAUUAGACGGAAAGACCCCGGGAUCUUUUGAUUUUUGUCUGGGGCAGAUUAAGAUUUUUCAUCUUUAUUAUGAACCUACUGGGUUAUUGGUUAAAGUUACCCCGGGGAUAACAGUAUAAUAGUUUAUUAGAGAUCAUAUCGAUUAAACUGUUUGUCACCUCGAUGUUGACUUAGGGUUAAGCUUAGGCGCAGUAGUUUGAGCUUUAGGUCUGUUCGACCUAGUGCCCUCCAUGAGUUGAGUUAAGACCGGCGUAAGCCAGGUCGGUUCUUAUCUAUUAGUGUAACUUAUUAGUACGAAAGGACCAUAAGUUUUUUUAUU
rnacentral:rRNA from 1 species